CAAAAAAUGGAUGUUCAAGACACACAAACAACCACAACUGUUUAAUUUUAGGUGAUAUUCAAUGGUCAAGACAGACUAAGCGACUUAGUUGCGCGGUGGCCAGGGUCAACGCAUGACAGCCGGAUUUUGAGGGAGAGUGGGGUAUUUCAAUUGUUUGAGCGUGGGCAUGUGGCUGGUGAGAACAAGUACCUGCUUGGGGACAGUGGCUAUCCCUGCAAGCAGUGGUUGCUCACUCCCUAUUUAAACCCAGCCAAUGCCCUACAGGUGAACUACAACAGAGCUCACAAAAUAACAAGAUCAAAAGUCGAAAGAGGAAUAGGCCAACUGAAAAGAAGAUGGGGAGUGCUGCAUGGCGAAAUUCGUUUGAAACCUGAAAAGGCGUGCCAAGUUAUCAUGGCAUGUGGAGUGUUGCAUAACAUAUGCAAAGACAUGAACAUUCCAAUGAUUGGGGAUGAUAUACCAGACAACAUGCAGCAGGAAGUACCUUACCAUGGCAUACAGAAUGGGCUUCGAUAUAGGGAUUUUGUAUCGCAAACAUAUUUUAACUAAGGCAUGGACAUAGACAAAACUAGUCUUAAAAAUGUGUGUUCAUUUACAUUUGCUAAAGACAAAACAAGUCUAUAAAAUGUGUGUUCAUUUACAUCUGAUAAAGACAAAACAAGUCUUAAAAAUGGGUGUCCAUUUACAUCUGAUAAAGACAAAACAAGUCUUAAAAAUGUGUGUACAUUUACACCUGAUAAAGACAAAACAAGUCUUUAAAAUGUGUGUUAAUUUAAAGUGCUGUGUCUCCGAACACAAGUGACACACGGAUUUUUAAACUUUAAAUGGGAGGAGAAGCUGAUAUUAGCCGAACCUAGCGACAAUGAGUCGGGUGGCGUCCGAUGAUACCCCUGCCACAGAGCAGCUAAUACAAGUUAUAUCUCGGGGGACUAGGUGCCUGAGCUACUUUCAGCGAUACAGGGAUAUUGAAGCACUAACAUAUUUUA